rnacentral:rRNA from 1 species
UACGAAGGGGGCUAGCGUUGUUCGGAAUUACUGGGCGUAAAUGGCGUGUAGGCUGUCCGCUCAGUCAGGUGUGAAAGGCCUGGGCUCAACCCAGGAAAUGCGCCUGAGACUGACGGACUUGAGUCCGGGAGAGGAUGGUGGAACUCCCAGUGUAGAGGUGAAAUUCGUAGAUAUUGGGAAGAACACCCGUGGCGAAGGCGGCCAUCUGGACCGGUACUGACGCUAAGGCGCGACAGCGUGGGGAGCAAACAGG